rnacentral:rRNA from 1 species
UUAAGCGACUAAGCGUACACGGUGGAUGCCCUGGCAGUCAGAGGCGAUGAAGGACGUGCUAAUCUGCGAUAAGCGUCGGUAAGGUGAUAUGAACCGUUAUAACCGGCGAUUUCCGAAUGGGGAAACCCAGUGUGUUUCGACACACUAUCAUUAACUGAAUCCAUAGGUUAAUGAGGCGAACCGGGGGAACUGAAACAUCUAAGUACCCCGAGGAAAAGAAAUCAACCGAGAUUCCCCCAGUAGCGGCGAGCGAACGGGGAGCAGCCCAGAGCCUGAAUCAGUGUGUGUGUUAGUGGAAGCGUCUGGAAAGGCGCGCGAUACAGGGUGACAGCCCCGUACACAAAAAUGCACAUGCUGUGAGCUCGAUGAGUAGGGCGGGACACGUGGUAUCCUGUCUGAAUAUGGGGGGACCAUCCUCCAAGGCUAAAUACUCCUGACUGACCGAUAGUGAACCAGUACCGUGAGGGAAAGGCGAAAAGAACCCCGGCGAGGGGAGUGAAAAAGAACCUGAAACCGUGUACGUACAAGCAGUGGGAGCCUCUUUUAUGGGGUGACUGCGUACCUUUUGUAUAAUGGGUCAGCGACUUAUAUUCUGUAGCAAGGUUAACCGAAUAGGGGAGCCGAAGGGAAACCGAGUCUUAACUGGGCGUUAAGUUGCAGGGUAUAGACCCGAAACCCGGUGAUCUAGCCAUGGGCAGGUUGAAGGUUGGGUAACACUAACUGGAGGACCGAACCGACUAAUGUUGAAAAAUUAGCGGAUGACUUGUGGCUGGGGGUGAAAGGCCAAUCAAACCGGGAGAUAGCUGGUUCUCCCCGAAAGCUAUUUAGGUAGCGCCUCGUGAAUUCAUCUCCGGGGGUAGAGCACUGUUUCGGCAAGGGGGUCAUCCCGACUUACCAACCCGAUGCAAACUGCGAAUACCGGAGAAUGUUAUCACGGGAGACACACGGCGGGUGCUAACGUCCGUCGUGAAGAGGGAAACAACCCAGACCGCCAGCUAAGGUCCCAAAGUCAUGGUUAAGUGGGAAACGAUGUGGGAAGGCCCAGACAGCCAGGAUGUUGGCUUAGAAGCAGCCAUCAUUUAAAGAAAGCGUAAUAGCUCACUGGUCGAGUCGGCCUGCGCGGAAGAUGUAACGGGGCUAAACCAUGCACCGAAGCUGCGGCAGCGACGCUUAUGCGUUGUUGGGUAGGGGAGCGUUCUGUAAGCCUGUGAAGGUGUGCUGUGAGGCAUGCUGGAGGUAUCAGAAGUGCGAAUGCUGACAUAAGUAACGAUAAAGCGGGUGAAAAGCCCGCUCGCCGGAAGACCAAGGGUUCCUGUCCAACGUUAAUCGGGGCAGGGUGAGUCGACCCCUAAGGCGAGGCCGAAAGGCGUAGUCGAUGGGAAACAGGUUAAUAUUCCUGUACUUGGUGUUACUGCGAAGGGGGGACGGAGAAGGCUAUGUUGGCCGGGCGACGGUUGUCCCGGUUUAAGCGUGUAGGCUGGUUUUCCAGGCAAAUCCGGAAAAUCAAGGCUGAGGCGUGAUGACGAGGCACUACGGUGCUGAAGCAACAAAUGCCCUGCUUCCAGGAAAAGCCUCUAAGCAUCAGGUAACAUCAAAUCGUACCCCAAACCGACACAGGUGGUCAGGUAGAGAAUACCAAGGCGCUUGAGAGAACUCGGGUGAAGGAACUAGGCAAAAUGGUGCCGUAACUUCGGGAGAAGGCACGCUGAUAUGUAGGUGAAGCGACUUGCUCGUGGAGCUGAAAUCAGUCGAAGAUACCAGCUGGCUGCAACUGUUUAUUAAAAACACAGCACUGUGCAAACACGAAAGUGGACGUAUACGGUGUGACGCCUGCCCGGUGCCGGAAGGUUAAUUGAUGGGGUCAGCGCAAGCGAAGCUCUUGAUCGAAGCCCCGGUAAACGGCGGCCGUAACUAUAACGGUCCUAAGGUAGCGAAAUUCCUUGUCGGGUAAGUUCCGACCUGCACGAAUGGCGUAAUGAUGGCCAGGCUGUCUCCACCCGAGACUCAGUGAAAUUGAACUCGCUGUGAAGAUGCAGUGUACCCGCGGCAAGACGGAAAGACCCCGUGAACCUUUACUAUAGCUUGACACUGAACAUUGAGCCUUGAUGUGUAGGAUAGGUGGGAGGCUUAGAAGUGUGGACGCCAGUCUGCAUGGAGCCGACCUUGAAAUACCACCCUUUAAUGUUUGAUGUUCUAACGUUGACCCGUAAUCCGGGUUGCGGACAGUGUCUGGUGGGUAGUUUGACUGGGGCGGUCUCCUCCUAAAGAGUAACGGAGGAGCACGAAGGUUGGCUAAUCCUGGUCGGACAUCAGGAGGUUAGUGCAAUGGCAUAAGCCAGCUUGACUGCGAGCGUGACGGCGCGAGCAGGUGCGAAAGCAGGUCAUAGUGAUCCGGUGGUUCUGAAUGGAAGGGCCAUCGCUCAACGGAUAAAAGGUACUCCGGGGAUAACAGGCUGAUACCGCCCAAGAGUUCAUAUCGACGGCGGUGUUUGGCACCUCGAUGUCGGCUCAUCACAUCCUGGGGCUGAAGUAGGUCCCAAGGGUAUGGCUGUUCGCCAUUUAAAGUGGUACGCGAGCUGGGUUUAGAACGUCGUGAGACAGUUCGGUCCCUAUCUGCCGUGGGCGCUGGAGAACUGAGGGGGGCUGCUCCUAGUACGAGAGGACCGGAGUGGACGCAUCACUGGUGUUCGGGUUGUCAUGCCAAUGGCACUGCCCGGUAGCUAAAUGCGGAAGAGAUAAGUGCUGAAAGCAUCUAAGCACGAAACUUGCCCCGAGAUGAGUUCUCCCUGACCCUUUAAGGGUCCUGAAGGAACGUUGAAGACGACGACGUUGAUAGGCCGGGUGUGUAAGCGCAGCGAUGCGUUGAGCUAACCGGUACUAAUGAACCGUGAGGCUUAACCUU